rnacentral:rRNA from 1 species
GAUGAACGCUGGCGGCGUGCCUAAUACAUGCAAGUCGAACGAAGAUGUUCUUGUGUUCGCAUGAGAGCUCUUAGUGGCGAACGGGUGAGUAACGCGUUGGUGACCUGCCCUAAAGAAGGGAACAACCUCGGGAAACUGAGGCUAAUACCCUAUGUGCUUCUUAAGAUUAGAUGCUUUUGAAGUAAAGGUUCUGUGGACGAAAGGCUACAGUGCCGCUUUAGGAGGGGCCUGCGUCCCAUCAGCUAGUUGGUAGGGUAAUGGCCUACCAAGGCGAUGACGGGUAGGGGACCUGAGAGGGUGACCCCCCACACUAGCACUGAAACACGGGCUAGACACCUACGGGUGGCAGCAGUAGGGAAUCUUGCACAAUCGACGAAAGUCUGAUGCAGCAACGCCGCGUGUGCGAUGAAGGCCUUCGGGUUGUAAAGCACUUUUCUGAGGGAAGAGAAAGGACGGUACCUCAGGAAUAAGUCUCGGCUAACUACGUGCCAGCAGCCGCGGUAAUACGUAGGAGGCGAGCGUUAUCCGGAUUUAUUGGGCGUAAAGCGUGUGCAGGUGGUUUGGUAAGUUGGGUAUGAAAUCUCCUGGCUUAACUAGGAGAGGUUGCUCAAAACUGCCAGACUAGAGGACGAUAGAGGAAGGUGGAAUUCCCGGUGUAGUAGUGAAAUGCGUAGAUAUCGGGAGGAACACCAGUGGCGAAGGCGGCCUUCUGGGUCGUUCCUGACACUAAGACACGAAAGCAUGGGUAGCAAACGGGAUUAGAAACCCCGGUAGUCCAUGCCGUAAACGAUGUGAACUUGAUGUCGGUGGCGUAAUAGUCAUCGGUGUCGAAGCUAACGCGAUAAGUUCACCGCCUGGGGAGUACGAUCGCAAGGUUA